rnacentral:rRNA from 1 species
UACGAAGGGGGGCUAGCGUUGCUCGGAAUCACUGGGCGUAAAGCGCACGUAGGCGGCUUGUUAAGUCAGGGGUGAAAUCCUGGAGCUCAACUCCAGAACUGCCUUUGAUACUGGCGAGCUUGAGUUCGGGGAGAGGUGAGUGGAACUGCGAGUGUAGAGGUGAAAUUCGUAGAUAUUCGCAAGAACACCAGUGGCGAAGGCGGCUCACUGGCCCGGUACUGACGCUGAGGCACGAAAGCGUGGGGAGCAAACAGG